GACGAACGCUGGCGGCGUGCUUAACACAUGCAAGUCGAACGGAAAGGCCCUGCUUUUGUGGGGUGCUCGAGUGGCGAACGGGUGAGUAACACGUGAGUAACCUGCCCUUGACUUUGGGAUAACUUCAGGAAACUGGGGCUAAUACCGGAUAGGAGCUCCUGCUGCAUGGUGGGGGUUGGAAAGUUUCGGCGGUUGGGGAUGGACUCGCGGCUUAUCAGCUUGUUGGUGGGGUAGUGGCUUACCAAGGCUUUGACGGGUAGCCGGCCUGAGAGGGUGACCGGGCACCUUGGGACUACGAUACGGCCCAGACUCCAACGGGAGGCAGCAGGGGGGAAUAUUGCACAAUGGGCGGAAGCCUGAUGCAGCAACGCCGCGUGCGGGAUGACGGCCUUCGGGUUGGAAACCGCUUUCGCCUGUGACGAAGCGUGAGUGACGGUAAUGGGUAAAGAAGCACCGGCUAACUACGUG
rnacentral:rRNA from 1 species